rnacentral:rRNA from 1 species
AUGAAUUGUAUCAGCUGGAAUUGUCGUGGUUUGGGAAUGUCGACAAUUCGAGAACUCAGUGUCUUGAGAGAGACACACCAUCCCAAAAUUAUCUUUCUUUCUGAAACUCGUCAAAAGUGUGCUCGUUUGCGCCGUCUUAGGAAUCGAUUGGGUCUCAGUGGUUUUGCUGGAGUUGAUAGUGAUGGUCUGAGCGAUGGCUUAGCUUUGUUUUGGCAUGAGAGUCUGUCCGUUGAAGUCAAAGAUUUAAGUGAAAGGUUCAUUGGUGUUUCUUUGAGAUUGUCACCUUCUGCUCCUUUGUGGCAUGCAUCUUUUGUGUAUGGGGAACCUCGCUCUGAAAAUCGGCACCGCAUGGUGGACGUCGAUGUGUUCCCUUCGGGCGACCUCGCCGCUACCAUGGUUUGUAGUGGGUGA